rnacentral:rRNA from 5 species
GUGUAGGAUAGGUGGGAGGCUUUGAAGUGUGGACGCCAGUCUGCAUGGAGCCGACCUUGAAAUACCACCCUUUAAUGUUUGAUGUUCUAACGUGGACCCGUAAUCCGGGUUGCGGACAGUGUCUGGUGGGUAGUUUGACUGGGGCGGUCUCCUCCUAAAGAGUAACGGAGGAGCACGAAGGUUGGCUAAUCCUGGUCGGACAUCAGGAGGUUAGUGCAAUGGCAUAAGCCAGCUUGACUGCGAGCGUGACGGCGCGAGCAGGUGCGAAAGCAGGUCAUAGUGAUCCGGUGGUUCUGAAUGGAAGGGCCAUCGCUCAACGGAUAAAAGGUACUCCGGGGAUAACAGGCUGAUACCGCCCAAGAGUUCAUAUCGACGGCGGUGUUUGGCACCUCGAUGUCGGCUCAUCACAUCCUGGGGCUGAAGUAGGUCCCAAGGGUAUGGCUGUUCGCCAUUUAAAGUGGUACGCGAGCUGGGUUUAGAACGUCGUGAGACAGUUCGGUCCCUAUCUGCCGUGGGCGCUGGAGAACUGAGGGGGGCUGCUCCUAGUACGAGAGGACCGGAGUGGACGCAUCACUGGUGUUCGGGUUGUCAUGCCAAUGGCACUGCCCGGUAGCUAAAUGCGGAAGAGAUAAGUGCUGAAAGCAUCUAAGCACGAAACUUGCCCCGA